CGCGGCCUAUCAGCUUGUUGGUGAGGUAAUGGCUCACCAAGGCAUCUACGGGUAGCUGGUCUGAGAGGACGAUCAGCCACACUGGGACUGAGACACGGCCCAGACUCCUACGGGAGGCAGCAGUGGGGAAUCUUGCGCAAUGGGCGAAAGCCUGACGCAGCGAUGCCGCGUGGGGGAUGAAGGCUCUCGGGUCGUAAACCCCUUUCAGCAGGGACGAAAAUGACGGUACCUGCAGAAGAAGCCCCGGCCAACUACGUGCCAGCAGCCGCGGUAACACGUAAGGGGCAAGCGUUGUCCGGAUUUAUUGGGCGUAAAGGGCUCGUAGGUGGUUGCGUAAGUCAGAUGUGAAAACUCCAGGCUCAACUUGGAGACGCCAUCUGAUACUGCGCUGACUUGAGUCCGGUAGAGGAGUGUGGAAUUUUUAGUGUAGCGGUGAAAUGCGCAGAUAUUAGAAGGAACACCUAUUGCGAAGGCAGCACUCUGGGCCGGUACUGACACUGAGGAGCGAAAGCAUGGGUAGCAAACAGGAUUAGAUACCCUGGUAGUCCAUGCCGUAAACGGUGGGCACUAGGUGUGGGGUCUUUCAACGGAUUCUGUGCCGAAGCUAACGCAUUAAGUGCCCCGCCUGGGGAGUACGG
rnacentral:rRNA from 1 species